AAGUCGUAACAAGGUUUCCGUAGGUGAACCUGCGGAAGGAUCAUUGAGAGAGUGGAGGGGAGAGUGAGUGGGAAUGUGGGGUGAGAUAUCACGUGACAAAUUAUUCUUUAUCAAUAUGACUAGCCACCUGGGAUCUCUGGGCUCUU
rnacentral:misc_RNA from 1 species